rnacentral:rRNA from 1 species
UACAGAGGGUGCAAGCGUUAAUCGGAAUUACUGGGCGUAAAGCGUGCGCAGGCGGUUGUGCAAGACAGAUGUGAAAUCCCCGGGCUCAACCUGGGAACUGCAUUUGUGACUGCACGGCUAGAGUGUGUCAGAGGGGGGUAGAAUUCCACGUGUAGCAGUGAAAUGCGUAGAUAUGUGGAGGAAUACCGAUGGCGAAGGCAGCCCCCUGGGAUAACACUGACGCUCAUGCACGAAAGCGUGGGGAGCAAACAGG